GUCCUCAUGGUGAAAGUGGUAGCCACGCCUGAUUUAAAAUCAUGUGCUAAAUAGCGUCUCAGUUCGAAUCUGAGUGAGGAUA
rnacentral:tRNA from 1 species